rnacentral:misc_RNA from 1 species
UCUUCAUCUUCAAUGGGAGUAAUUGGAAUCAGAGGAACUUCAAGAUCACUAUUUCGAGAGUCUGCUAAGUCUGCAGAGAAUGUGGGGUUUGAAGGAAUGGCAGAUGUGCGAGGAUAAACAGCUUCAAGAACUCUCAUCUCUCUCUGAUUUUGAACCUCCACCUCUUUGCUUUCUUCGCCCGAAACCACUUGCCAGGUUAAGUCCAAGAUAAACCUGGGAGGACAUCUCCACUUGAUUAUAGAGAUGUCAGACAACUUAAUGUGCAACUGGUUGGCAGAAAGACCUUCAAAACCAGGAGGAAGAAUUUCAUCAGCAGUUGUGCCAGCUGGAUGGGACAGCCAUGAUGCUUUUGCUUGGAGGUGAUCUUGGGUACCCAACCCAACUUGUGAAGGAGAUUCCUCCGA